rnacentral:rRNA from 1 species
AUUGAACGCUGGCGGCAGGCCUAACACAUGCAAGUCGAGCGGAGGAAGGGAGCUUGCUCCUGGAUUCAGCGGCGGACGGGUGAGUAAUGCCUAGGAAUCUGCCUGGUAGUGGGGGAUAACGUCCGGAAACGGGCGCUAAUACCGCAUACGUCCUGAGGGAGAAAGUGGGGGAGCUUCGGACCUCACGCUAUCAGAUGAGCCUAGGUCGGAUUAGCUAGUUGGUGGGGUAAAGGCCUACCAAGGCGACGAUCCGUAACUGGUCUGAGAGGAUGAUCAGUCACACUGGAAGUGAGACACGGUCCAGACUACUACGGGAGGCAGCAGUGGGGAAUAUUGGACAAUGGGCGAGAGCCUGAUACAGCCAUGCCGCGUGUGUGAAGAAGGUCUUCGGAUUGUAAAGCACUUUAAGUUGGGAGGAAGGGCAGUAAGUUAAUACCUUGCUGUUUUGACGUUACCAACAGAAUAAGCACCGGCUAACUUCGUG